UGAGGAAUAUUGCGCAAUGGGCGAAAGCCUGACCCAGCGACACCGCGUGAGUGAUGAAGGUCUUCGGAUUGUAAAGCUCUAACACGUGUUAAGAAGGCAUUUACAGUGAACAAUUGUAGAUGUCGGACAAAGGCGCGAGAUGAAGUCAUUGCUAACUCUGUGCCAGCAGCAGCGGUAAUACAGAGAUGGCUACCGUUGUUCGGAAUCACUGGGCUUAAAGGGCGUGUAGGCGGAGCGAUAAGUUGGUAGUGAAAUUUCCUGGCUCACCCAGGGAACGGCUACCAAGACUGUUGCUCUUGAGUGCGGUAGGGGGGAGUGGAACUCCUGGUGGAGCGGUGAAAUGCGUUGAUAUCAGGAGGAACGCCGGAGGCGAAAGCGACUCUCUGGACCGCUACUGACGCUGAGGCGCGAAAGCGUGGGGAGCAAACA
rnacentral:rRNA from 1 species